rnacentral:rRNA from 1 species
UACGGGGGGAGCAAGCGUUGUUCGGAUUUACUGGGCGUAAAGCGCACGUAGGCGGAUUGUUAAGUCGGGGGUGAAAUCCUGGAGCUCAACUCCAGAACUGCCUUCGAUACUGGCGAUCUCGAGUUCGGGAGAGGUGAGUGGAACUGCGAGUGUAGAGGUGAAAUUCGUAGAUAUUCGCAAGAACACCAGUGGCGAAGGCGGCUCACUGGCCCGAUACUGACGCUGAGGCACGAAAGCGUGGGGAGCAAACAGG